CCUACGGGAUGCAGCAGUGAGGAAUAUUGGUCAAUGGACGAGAGUCUGAACCAGCCAAGUAGCGUGAAGGAUGACUGCCCUAUGGGUUGUAAACUUCUUUUAUAUGGGAAUAAAGCGAUGCACGUGUGCCUUUUUGUAUGUACUUUAUGAAUAAGGAUCGGCUAACUCCGUGCCAGCAGCCGCGGUAAUACGGAGGAUCCGAGCGUUAUCCGGAUUUAUUGGGUUUAACGGGAGCGUAGGUGGGUUGUUAAGUCAGUUGUGAAAGUUUGCGGCUCAACCGUAAAAUUGCAGUUGAAACUGGCAGGCUUGAGUACAGUAGAGGUGGGCGGAAUUCGUGGUGUAGCGGUGAAAUGCUUAGAUAUCACGAAGAACUCCGAUUGCGAAGGCAGUUCACUGGACUGCAACUGACACUGAGGCUCGAAAGUGUGGGUAUCAAACAGGAUUAGAUACCCCUGUAGUC
rnacentral:rRNA from 1 species